UCCACUCGGCAAGACCUUCUUGGCUUGGAUUUGUGUUUUAGAUCUUAUGCCAUGUUUGUUAUCGUAUUUCAUAAUAAUCUAUUUCAACUGAUACUUUACUUCUAUCCUUUUUGGAUCGUAUGUGAUCAGAUUUCAAUGUAUUUGUGAACCUAAUUUACCAUCUCACCAUAUUUUCCCAUGUGUUGUUGCGUCGAAUUUAAUCAUAGUAUAUUAACAUUGUAAGUUACAUGUGUUGUUUCAUCAAAGGUAAUUAGGGCCACCGCGGGGUCUGGAAUGGGGUCUAGAAAUUAAGAAAGACAUCCACUAUGUUUUUCUUGGGUUCUCCAAUUUAG
rnacentral:lncRNA from 1 species